rnacentral:lncRNA from 1 species
UCAGAACAACCUUUCUUGGGACUCAGAGUUAAAUGCCCAAGGAUUCGUUUUCUUUUUUGAGAGGAUUGUGCUGUAAGUGUGAAAUGAUAAUUUUACUGUUUUGAGCACUGAAGCUGGUUGGAUCAGAAAAUUUAACCUUCAAUCUUGUAUUAGGUGUGGCAGGGGAACUCAUCAGAUUAGCUUGUGAUGCUACAAAUGAUUCUCUGAUUAGUGCUGGAUACAGUGGUUAUAUUAAGGUUUGUUGCAUGUUGCUGCUGUUGCACUUUAGUUCAAUGACAGUUUAUUUCAUUUUCGCAAGAAAUAUUACAAUAUGUUCCAGUGCCUGCUAAUUAAGUGCAUCUACUUUAUGUAAUGCUAAUGUACAUUUCAUUUCAUCUUUCAUGCUCUUAUCACUGGUUAAAUGUUGUUCCUCUUCUAAUCCACCACCAAUAAUACAUGGAGUAUUGCACCUGCAGCCUUAAAUUAGCCACUGUUGAGCAUUUCUUUGCUAGUAUGGGUUAAGUUUGCUGCGCGUGACCCUAGCGUGCACGCCUAGGCCAAGGAGGAAAAGAAAGGGGGCGGAUAGAAGAGGGAGGGAGCGCCAGUGUUGUUCCUGGGACAAGGAGAGCUAGCUUGUCAACGAUGUGGAGCUGCUCCUGAUCCCUUAACCAUUCCUAAGCUAGGACGGAGCUGAUGUCCAGAGAAGGAAGGAGAUGCAGGUGCCAUUGGAUUUGGAUCCAAUGGUCUAGAAGCACGGAGAGACAAACUCUUGUAAAAAGCACACACAAUUGGAGGGGCCGUUCGUCGUGGCCACACAUGUUUUGUAGUGCCAGUAGUGCAAAUGCCCUUCCCGAAUUUUGACAACUCAAUUUCAAUCUGUCUACCUAUCACCAGGUAAUAGAGGAACAAAUGCAAGAAGAUGUCAUGAGGAACAGAUGGAUAAAUAUUCGGAUUCACGAAGAAUAAGCAAUCACAAAACGUUUUAUGAAGAAACCACAGAACUAUGUAAUUUAUACUAUUACAGACUUGAUAGAGCUCUGCAGCUGAGGUGAGCCUCCUAUUAUAAACUCUUUAUUCAGAUGGUACUUAUCAUUCUACCAGACCUAUCAAUCUUGUUCAUGAGGCAACGGAUCUAGCUAUCGAAGGUAAGAAUGUGCGUACAUGCCUCAUUACGUUACAUGUGCAAUAUCAAACAUAGGGCUCAUCUUCCUCCUGAAAUGCUUGAUAUCGUGCCAACGCUCUUUGAUGAAGGAUAUGACAUGACGUAUGAAUCAAAUCCUUCAUUUUGCAUCAAGGCCAGUGCUUGGAAGCUCAGGUGUGCUGGUAGCUCUGGUGGUUCAAUAUGCCCAUCUAGGUACUGGAUCACUUGCCGCAUGCUAGGCCUUGCACAUGCAAAUGGGUGUGAGCACAAUAGUCCUAGCUUCAGCGCCAGAUAUGCCUCGCUGACAUUGUACUGCCUUUUAAGCCUCGGAUCGAUUGCAUCAGCUAGUGAUCCUUGUUGCACAUGCUCAAGCACCCAGUCAACCAACAUGACCUGCUCAUCCUGUGUGUUCUGCAUGAUAGGCCUUUGUCCACAAGUGACCUCCAGAAUAAAUACACCAAAGGCAAAUACGUCGGUAAGAGGAGUACCCUUGCCCGUGCGUGCUAGCUCUGGAGCAAUGUAUCCAAUGGUGCCAACAACGCGUGUAGUUUCUUGCUCAACACCAUGGUCAUACAACCUUGCUAGACCGAAAUCACCCAACCGUGCAUUCAACUCAUCAUCAAGGAGCACGUUGCUUGCCUUGAUGUCACGAUGGACAACUACUUUCUCCCACUCCUCGUGGAGAUAAAUCAGUGCAGAUGCGAUGCCCCUGAUGAUCCAAAUCCUUUGGUCCCAACUUAAUGUGGAUCUUUCCACUUCACCAUACAAGUACUUAUCGAGGCUUCCUUUGGGCAUGUACUCAUACACUAACAGGAGCUCACCUUGACGCCUGCAAUAGCCAAGUAAGUGCGCCAGAUUUGGAUUCUGAAGGCGACCAAUGCUGACAAUUUCUGCUAUGAAUUCCUUCAUGCCUUGCCUGGAGUCAUGCGACACCCUCUUCACAGCUAUCCUUAGUUUGGACCUUGACAGCUCUCCUCUGUAUACUCUUCCAAAUCCUCCAGACCCUAGGAGGUUUUUGUUGUCAAAUCCCUCUGUUGCACGGAACAAAUCCUUGUACGAGAAGCGGUGUGGGCCGAAUUCAACCUCCCAGUCGUCACGUACUUCUGCAUACCUGAAAUGCCGCCACACAAGAAGGGAAACAACGGCAGCCAGAGAUAGGAUGAGUGCUGCCGUUGCUAGUGGUAGAAUGAUCUCCAAUACCCGGAGACGGCGUCGACCCUUGGUACGAGGACCAAGGGGUAGUUUUGGCAGCAUGGUGAGAUUGAUAGCUGGAGCAGGACUAUUUAUGCCAAAACUCCAACCAAGCACAUAAUGCUUUGUUAUCUUGCCUUCUGCAGAUGAGAAGCCGAUGUAUGCCACAUCUGUGAGCACACUUGAGAGGUUGUAACUGGCUGAUACUGUUGGUCUUGUAGGCUUGGCCAUGCCGAUAGGAGCCAUGGUGGCGUCGAUCUGCAUCUUGUCUCCAUGGUAGUCCACCCACACCUGCAUCACCUCUUGGCUAUCGAGACUCAAACUCUGGAAGGUGCCAUUCUUGUCAUGGUAGAAGCCAGCAUCAUGGGAUUGUAUGGAGCGGAGACUGUUGAUGUCAAUACCAACAUGGUUGUCAUUCAUGUCUUGAAGCUCCCAGUUCUGGAAGGUGUCUAGCUCGACUGCGAAGAUGUGGUUUGUUUGAUUGCCGUCAUUCUGAUUGCUGAGAAGACCCAAGUACUGCAUCCGCAUCGCCGUGGACAGAUUCUUGCUCGGCGCAAUGAACAUGGCGAUGCCGUUGCUGCUCAAGUCCUUGUAUAUGGAGACCAUGGCGAAGACGAAUGAGGCGGAGAAGGACUGCACAGCCCCAUCGGACAAAUUGCGGAAGCGCAGCGGUUCAGGAUAGAAGGCGCGGCCCAUGCUCCGGGACGUGCCAUUGGUAAGCAUAAGCAACCCGUUGGGUGUGACCGAGGCCACACCGUCGAGGGUGAGGUUAGUGUUAGAAAAGCCGGAGUAGCUGAACUGGUGCUCAUCGGCGGCGACGAAGGGUGGUACCACGCUAAGGCCAAGAGAGAGUAGUAGCUUGAGUAGCAGAAAGGAGAGAUGCUUUAUGCCAGACAUGAUCAUGACUCAUGAAAAAUGGCUGGCAUAAGCAGGUGCAUGUAUGAAUGUUUUUAUAGUUGAGCAACUCCGGACUUCUUACUCUACUCGCCCAUUUAUCAGUCAGAGGACUCUCAGCAUCGCAUAUAGUUUUCUAAGGACCGGUCGGCCUUUCUUUUUGUUAGGUUAGCUCUAGAACACAGCUUUGAUCCAGGCAUCCAGCUUUAUCUGUCUAAGCUAAUGUGUCGUAGUUUUGCUUGUGUCGCAGACAAAAACAUUGAUUUAGAUUAACUUGAACAUCGAUGUGCGAUUGCGAGCGACCUUUCUGUAGUCUUCUGUCAUGUAAACUUUGUCAACCAGACAAAAAGUAUUACAUUGAAAUUAAAGAUGGACAAGAACUGAAAAUUAAACUUGAUGUACAUAAUUCCAUGCGUGGAUGCAGUGCAUGAUCCAAGACGGUGUGUAGUAUUCUCUGGCUGUGACUUUUGGUGACUAGUUUGGGAUGAUGGGCACUUCCCAGUGCCAAGUCCAGACGAUCUCCAUCAAGUUUCCUAAUCUUCUGAUGUCAGUGUUGAAAUUUGUUAUGACGACAGCAACGGCAGAACCGCAGAAGAUCUCAAUCUACCUUUUCUAAGUAUUAUGUGUAGUGAUUAAAUUUACAUCAUCAGACCUAAAAGUAAACAGGUACACCUAAAGAUGUACUGUUUGACGCAAAAUUUUCAACAUUCUACAUCCAUUAUUGACCGUUACCCAACGGCGCUUUUCUAAAAAUACAUCUUGAAUUUUUUUUUUGUAGAAAAUCCUAAAGAACAGUAUUGCGUCCAGACAAUUUUUCUGCACCAUCUUGUUAGAAGCUGACAGUUUCUUUGGGUCGAUUUUUACUGCACAGAAUACUAAAAAAGGUUGAUUGAGAUCCUCUGCCACGGCAUAACAAAUUUCAGCAUGAACAUCAGAAGAUUAGGAAAGGUUUUUUUUUAUAACAAGAAGAUUAGGAAAGGUUGAUGGAACUCUGAAGCGUGAGCUCCCAAUUUUCCUGUCAUCCCAAGGUAAUCGUCAGAAGUCGCACUUAUCGCAUAUUGUCCACCCACGCAUGGAAUUAUGGAUCAAGUUUAUUUUUCAAUUCUUGUCCCAUCUUUAAAAUUCAACGGUAUACUUUCAGUCUGUUUGUCCCAAUUUACAUGAUAUAUGACUAUGAAAGCUUGUCCGUAUUUUUUGAAGGCAACUAGUAGUCGAUCUAAUACAACACAACAGCUAUAGGACGUAGCACAGAGACCAAGAAACAGAACUGGAAAUGAGCUAUCCUAGUGACAUCCCCAGAACUUAUACUUAGCACCCAACACCAUGGGAACAAAACAGGAAUUUUGUUGGAUUAAUCAAAAGGUAUCCUGAUGUCGAGAAAAACAAAGAGAAAAUGUCACCCCCUUACCCGACGAUCACUCUUCACCUCGCAGGACUAGGAGAGUUGCAGCCUGUCGAAGGGCACCUCGUUGCCAUUGCCGCUUCUGAUCGUUUACAGUGCAUGAUCCAAGACACUGUGUAGUAAUACUCUCGGGCUGUGACUUUUAAUUGGUGGCUUAACUUGGGAUGGUGAUGGGAAACUGGCAGCUCACACUUCAGAGUGCGAAGUCCAGACGGUCUUCACCAACCUUCCUAAUCUUCUGUUGUUUGUGCUGAAAUUUAUGAUGCCGUUACAACAACGGCGGAUGAUCUUCUAAGUAUUCUUUGUAAAAAAAAUUGGAUCGUUCAGACUUCAAAGUAAACAAGUACACGUGAAGAUUGCAAAAAUCUCAACAGUCUACAUCCAUUGUUGACCGUUACCUCUAUCAGAGCUUUUUUCAAAUACAUCUUGGAAAUUUGCUGUUGAAAAUCCUACAGGAUACCGUGUCCUGACAAAUUUCCCGCAUCAUCUUGUUAGAAUCUGACAGUUUCUUUAGGGUCGAAUUUUACUGCAUGGAAUACUAGAAAAGGUUGACUGAAAUCCUCUGUCGUUGCGGUAACGGCAUAACAAAUUUCAGCAUGAACAUCAGAAGAUUACG